rnacentral:tRNA from 1 species
UGGGUUGUGGCUCAGUGGUAGAGUGCUUGCCUAGCAUGCACAAGGCACUGGGUUUGAUCCUCAGCACCACAU